CCUACGGGGGGCAGCAGUGAGGAAUAUUGGUCAAUGGACGAGAGUCUGAACCAGCCAAGUAGCGUGAAGGAUGACUGCCCUAUGGGUUGUAAACUUCUUUUAUAUGGGAAUAAAAUGUUCCACGUGUGGGAUUUUGUAUGUACCAUAUGAAUAAGGAUCGGCUAACUCCGUGCCAGCAGCCGCGGUAAUACGGAGGAUCCGAGCGUUAUCCGGAUUUAUUGGGUUUAAAGGGAGCGUAGGUGGAUUGUUAAGUCAGUUGUGAAAGUUUGCGGCUCAACCGUAAAAUUGCAGUUGAUACUGGCAGUCUUGAGUACAGUAGAGGUGGGCGGAAUGCGUGGUGUAGCGGUGAAAUGCUUAGAUAUCACGAAGAACUCCGAUUGCGAAGGCAGUUCACUGGACUGCAACUGACACUGAGGCUCGAAAGUGUGGGUAUCAAACAGGAUUAGAUACCCGGGUAGUC
rnacentral:rRNA from 1 species